GACGAACGCUGGCGGCGUGCUUAACACAUGCAAGUCGAACGGAAAGGCCCUGCUUUUGUGGGGUGCUCGAGUGGCGAACGGGUGAGUAACACGUGAGUAACCUGCCCUUGACUUUGGGAUAACUUCAGGAAACUGGGGCUAAUACCGGAUAGGAGCUCCUGCUGCAUGGUGGGGGUUGGAAAGUUUCGGCGGUUGGGGAUGGACUCGCGGCUUAUCAGCUUGUUGGUGGGGUAGUGGCUUACCAAGGCUUUGACGGGUAGCCGGCCUGAGAGGGUGACCGGCCACAUGGGGACUGGGGUACGGCCCAGACUCCUACGGGGGGCAAGAGUGGGGAAUAUUGCACAAUGGGCGGAAGCCUGAUGCAGCAACGCCGCGUGCGGGAUGACGGCCUUCGGGUUGUAAACCGCUUUCGCCUGUGACGAAGCGUGAGGGACGGUAAUGGGUAAAGAAGCACCGGCUAACUACGU
rnacentral:rRNA from 1 species